GGGGACGUAACAAAGCGACCCAGGAAUACUUGGGCGUGCCUCCACCCACGCCGGCGUCGGCGGGCGUAUUUCGCCUCACAGUAGGUCGCCGCGACCCGUUGCUUCUGGGGACGUCGAAGGCCCGGACGGAUUGGUACCCUACCGGCUGGGGAUGCGGCUUCGGCUUCUCCUCUUGUCCGGUGGGCGAAACCGCCGGUGUCCUGGCUGCCCUGCGACGGUCGUAGAGACGAGCCCCUCCCAUUCGUGGGGGGCGGCUCUCGCGGCGUGCAAAAGGUCGGUGAUCCACCCGACCCGUCUUGAAACACGGACCAAGGAGUCUAACAUGUGUGCGAGUCAGUGGGCGCACUAAACCCAGAGGCGUAAUGAAAGUGACACGGGUUCGGCUGUCGCCUCGUGUGGCAGCCGGACUCAGGGCCGAUCCCUCACCGGUUGCCCUCGCCUCUCUCCCGCGUCUCGGUAAGCCGGGUGAGCUAUUUUCCCCGGCCGCUGCUGCGGGGCUCGGGGGGAGGCGGGGUGCGAUGGUGUCCGUAAAAAAGAGCCUGCUGUUGCAGGGGGGCGCAGGCCCGGGACUUGCCAGGACGCCGCGAGACUGUCACUUUGCUGUGAGGCUCCAGGGUCGAUCAGCGGGUCAUGCGUGCAGUCGGCAAGUACCAUGAGCAGACAUGUUGGGACCCGAAAGAUGGUGAACUAUGCCUGGCCAGGAUGAAGCCAGAGGAAACUCUGGUGGAGGUCCGUAGCGAUUCUGACGUGCAAAUCGAUCGUCGGAGCUGGGUAUAGGGGCGA
rnacentral:rRNA from 1 species